rnacentral:lncRNA from 1 species
UAUUGUAUAGAUUAAUUUAAAUUUGUACAGACUUCAGACCACUUUUAUACACUUUCACCAUUCAAACCUAUGUUUUGAACCGCUAGAUCCGCUUAAUUCACACUUGCUCCGCUUGAUCCGCUACGCUUGAUACGCUGUCUCCGUUCGGAGUCUAAAUGUUAAAAAUAUUGAAUUAUUAUAGUCUUAAAGAGUCCAACAAAAUAAUAAAAAAUUCCAUUAAUGUUGUAUACGUUGUGGUGAAUGUCAUUAACUUAUCUUCUAGUUAGUGGACAAAAAUACAAGUGCAGCAGAACAAUUGGCUUUGUGUUAAAAAAAAAAUUAAAAUCUUUGUUAGUCGUUAGAUCCAGAUGGAAUUGUGAGUACGGACCAAACGAUUUUAUAAUACUAUUAUGCAUGUGUGAUUUUCUUAGCUUUGUGCCCUUGUACUAUGGAUUUUGUGAAGGGUUCCGACUCAUUUUUUGUAUUGUUGGUAUGGAUCUAAGUUGACUUCCUUGGUUAAACUUACAAUAUAUCAGUUUUCUAAUUACAUGUUUAAUACUUGCCUUAAUCUACC